UACGUAGGGGGCAAGCGUUGUCCGGAUUUAUUGGGCGUAAAGAGCGUGUAGGCGGUCAGGUAGGUCCGUUGUGAAAACUCGAGGCUCAACCUCGAGACGCCGAUGGAAACCAUCUGACUAGAGUCCGGAAGAGGAUAGUGGAAUUCCCAGUGUAGAGGUGAAAUUCGUAGAUAUUGGGAAGAACACCGGUGGCGAAGGCGGCUAUCUGGCCCGUAAUUGACGCUGAGGCGCGAAAGCGUGGGGAGCAAACAGG
rnacentral:rRNA from 1 species